rnacentral:rRNA from 2 species
ACCUGAUCCCAUCCCGAACUCAGAAGUGAAACGCAAUCGCGCCGAUGGUAGUGUGGGGUCUCCCCAUGUGAGAGUAGGUCAUCGCCAAGC